UUGCCCAUUUUGGCACUAGCACAUUUUUGCUUUGUUUCUCCUCUUUUGAGCAAUCAUGUGUAGUGCCAAUAUAGGAUG
rfam:Oreochromis niloticus linkage group LG7, whole genome shotgun sequence.